UCAAGCUACAAAGGGCGCAGGGCGAAUGCCUUGGCAUCAGAGGCCGAAGAAAGACGUGGUAAGCUGCGAAAAGCUACGGGGAGCCGCAAGCAGGCAUUGAUCCGUAGAUUUCUGAAUGGAGCAAUCCGGCGAGUGUCAUGACUCGUCAUCCCAUGCUGAAUCAAAUAGGUAUGGGAGGGGAACCGCCUGAACUGAAACAUCUAAGUAGGGCGAGGAAAAGAAAUCAACCGAGAUUCCGUAAGUAGUGGUGAGCGAAAGCGGAGGAGGCUAAACCGAGAGUAGAAAUACUCUUGGGGUUUUGGACUGUAAUGUGUAUUCCAGGAACUAGCUGAAGUGCAUGGGAAGGCACACCAGAGACGGUGAGAGUCCGGUAAGCGAAAGGGAAUGGGAGCUAGCAGGAUCCAGAGUACCGCGGAGCACGUGGAAUUCCGUGGGAAGAUAGGGGGACCACCCUCUAAGCCUAAAUACCAUCUGAUGACCGAUAGCGAAUAGUACUGUGAAGGAACGGUGAAAAGCACCCCGGGAGGGGAGUGAAAGAGAACCUGAAACCCUGUGCCUACAAGCACUGAGAGCACGUCAAGGUGUGAUCAGGUACCUAUUGUAGAAUGGUCCGGCGAGUAUAUGUGUGUAGCAAGGUUAAGCACUGAAGGUGUGGAGCCGAAGGGAAACCAAGUCUGAACAGGGCGUCAAGUUACACGUAUAUGACCCGAAACCGGGUGACCUAUCCAUGAUCAGGUUGAAGUGGGAGUAAAAUCCCAUGGAGGACCGAACCGACCCCCGUUGAAAUGUUGGCGGAUGAAUUGUGGAUAGCGGAGAAAUUCCAAUCGAACUCGGAUAUAGCUGGUUCUCCCCGAAAUAGCUUUAGGGCUAGCCUCAUAAGAGAUUACCGGAGGUAAAGCACUGAAUGGCCUAGGGGUCGAAAGACUACCGAAGCCUAUCAAACUCUGAAUGCCGGAUAAUUGCUUUAUGGGAGUCAGACUACGUGAGAUAAGUUUCGUGGUCAAAAGGGAAAGAGCCCAGACCCACAGCUAAGGUCCCUAAAUACGUUUAAGUGGGAAAGGAUGUGGAACUGCAAAAACAACCAGGAUGUUGGCUUAGAAGCAGCCAUACAUUUAAAGAGUGCGUAAUAGCUCACUGGUCGAGUGAAGUUGCGCGGAAAAUUACCGGGGCUAAGCUAUACACCGAAAUUGCGGAUUUACAUUUGAAAGAUAAUGUAAGUGGUAGAGGAGCAUUCUGUAGUAGGGAGAAGCAUAAGCGAGAGCAUGUGUGGACGAGGCAGAAGAGAGAAUGCUGGAAUAAGUAGCGAGAGCAAGGUGAGAAUCCUUGCCGUCGAAAGUCUAAGGUUUCCUGGGGAAGGUUCGUCCGCCCAGGGUAAGUCGGGACCUAAGGUGAGGCUGAAAAGCGUAGCCGAUGGAUAGCAGGUUGAAAUUCCUGCACUAUAGAUAUACUUAAAAGAUGCAAGGGACGCAGGAGUGGAAGAUAAGCGAGGAAGAGGAAAAACUCGUAUCGCAAGAUAUAGUGAAAAUAAAGUAACGAAUUAUCAAGAAGCACACUGACGAGAAAAGCUUGUAGAUAUUGUAUAUAAAUACCCGUACCGCAAACCGACACAGGUAGAUGAGGAGAGGAUCCUAAGACGAGCGGGAGAAGCAUUGUUAAGGAACUCGGCAAAUUGACCCCGUAACUUAGGGAGAAGGGGUGCCAAGGUAACACUUGGCCGCAGUGAAGAGGUUCAAGCAACUGUUUAACAAAAACACAGGUUUCUGCUAAAUCGAAAGAUGAAGUAUAGGAGCUGACGCCUGCCCAGUGCUGGAAGGUCAAAGGGAAGUGUUAGUAAAAACUUACGAAGCACAGAACUCAAGCCCCAGUGAACGGCGGCCGUAACUAUAACGGUCCUAAGGUAGCGAAAUUCCUUGUCAGGUAAG
rnacentral:rRNA from 1 species